GUGCCUAAUACAUGCAAGUCGAGCGAACAGAUAAGGAGCUUGCUCCUUUGACGUUAGCGGCGGACGGGUGAGUAACACGUGGGUAACCUACCUAUAAGUCUGGGAUAACUUCGGGAAACCGGAGCUAAUACCGGAUAACAUUUGGAACCGCAUGGUUCUAAAGUGAAAGAUGGUUUUGCUAUCACUUAUAGAUGGACCCGCGCCGUAUUAGCUAGUUGGUAAGGUAACGGCUUACCAAGGCAACGAUACGUAGCCGACCUGAGAGGGUGAUCGGCCACACUGGAACUGAGACACGGUCCAGACUCCUACGGGAGGCAGCAGUAGGGAAUCUUCCGCAAUGGGCGAAAGCCUGACGGAGCAACGCCGCGUGAGUGAUGAAGGGUUUCGGCUCGUAAAACUCUGUUAUUAGGGAAGAACAAACGUGUAAGUAACUAUGCACGUCUUGACGGUACCUAACCAGAAAGCCACGGCUAACUACGUGCCAGCAGCCGCGGUAAUACGUAGGUGGCAAGCGUUAUCCGGAAUUAUUGGGCGUAAAGCGCGCGUAGGCGGUUUCUUAAGUCUGAUGUGAAAGCCCACGGCUCAACCGUGGAGGGUCAUUGGAAACUGGGAAACUUGAGUGCAGAAGAGGAAAGUGGAAUUCCAUGUGUAGCCGUGAAAUGCGCAGAGAUAUGGAGGAACACCAGUGGCGAAGGCGACUUUCUGGUCUGUAACUGACGCUGAUGUGCGAAAGCGUGGGGAUCAAACAGGAUUAGAUACCCUGGUAGUCCACGCCGUAAACGAUGAGUGCUAAGUGUUAGGGGGUUUCCGCCCCUUAGUGCUGCAGCUAACGCAUUAAGCACUCCGCCUGGGGAGUACGACCGCAAGGUUGAAACUCAAAUGAAUUGACGG
rnacentral:rRNA from 1 species